GGCCAGAUAGCUCAGUUGGUAGAGCAGAGGACUGAAAAUCCUUGUGUCGGCAGUUCGAUUCUGCCUCUGGCCA
rnacentral:tRNA from 1 species